rnacentral:misc_RNA from 1 species
GAUGAAGAACGUAGCGAAAUGCGAUAAGUAAUGUGAAUUGCAGAAUUCAGUGAAUCAUCGAAUCUUUGAACGCACAUUGCGCCCGUCAGUAUUCUGGCGGGCAUGCCUGUUCGAGCGUCAUUACGCCCCUCAAGUCCCCUGUGGACUUGGUGUUGGGGAUCGGCGAAGCUGGUUUUCCAGCACAGCCGUCCCUUAAAUUAAUUGGCGGUCUCGCCGUGGCCCUCCUCUGCGCAGUAGUAAAACACUCGCAACAGGAGCCCGGCGCGGUCCACUGCCGUAAAACCCCCCAACUUUUUAUAGUUGACCUCGAAUCAGGUAGGACUACCCGCUGAACUUAAGCAUAUCAAUAAGCGGAGGA